UACGAAGGGGGCUAGCGUUGUUCGGAAUUAUUGGGUUUAAAGGGUGCGUAGGCGGUCUUAUAAGUCAGUGCUGAAAUAUCCCGGCUUAACCGGGAGGGUGGCAUUGAUACUGUAGGACUUGAGUAAAGUUGAGGUUGGCGGAAUUGACGGUGUAGCGGUGAAAUGCUUAGAUAUCGUCAAGAACACCGAUAGUGUAGACAGCUAACUAAGCUUUAACUGACGCUGAGGCACGAAAGUGUGGGGAUCAAACAGG
rnacentral:rRNA from 1 species